UUUCCAUAGGUGAGCCUGCGGAAGGAUCAUUAAAGUUAUAGUCCCCUGGCCCUCUGGGCUGGGGUCUUCUAUACCACCCUUUGUUUAUUACACCUUUGUUGCUUUGGCAGGCCUGCCCUCGGGCUGCUGGCUCCGGCCGGCGAGCGCCUGCCAGAGGACCUAAACUCUGUUUGUCUAUAAUGUCUGAGUACUAUAUAAUAGUUAAAACUUUCAACAACGGAUCUCUUGGUUCUG
rnacentral:misc_RNA from 1 species